UUAGCACCCCUCACGUUCGUUGUACUCAACGGGAACCUUUUAGUUUAAUUUGUGAUUUGAAUUGUUAGCUGAAUGUAGUUUGUUUUCUUCGAGUGAUAGGAAUGUUGAAAAGAGAUGGAUGGAAACCUCAUAAUGGGGGAAAUGAGAGGUUUUUUAUUAGUGUUCUCGCCAAGAUCUCGCAAUCUCGUGCAUAUGUAUCCUUAUGGUGCAAUAAGGAAGUCAGAGCAUUCGUAGUUUGGGGAACUACGGUUUGUUGGUUUUUUUUAUGAACGACUGUUUAGAUCGCGUUCUAAAGGCUAAACAUUGGCCUGUCUAAUCUCGGAGGAGGCUUAAACACUAGUUUGUGGUGCGCGUUAG
rnacentral:lncRNA from 1 species